AGAGUUUGAUCAUGGCUCAGAUUGAACGCUGGCGGCAGGCCUAACACAUGCAAGUCGAACGGUAACAGGAAGCAGCUUGCUGCUUUGCUGACGAGUGGCGGACGGGUGAGUAAUGUCUGGGAAACUGCCUGAUGGAGGGGGAUAACUACUGGAAACGGUGGCUAAUACCGCAUAAUGUCGCAAGACCAAAGAGGGGGACCUUCGGGCCUCUUGCCAUCAGAUGUGCCCAGAUGGGAUUAGCUUGUUGGUGAGGUAACGGCUCACCAAGGCGACGAUCCCUAGCUGGUCUGAGAGGAUGACCAGCCACACUGGAACUGAGACACGGUCCAGACUCCUACGGGAGGCAGCAGUGGGGAAUAUUGCACAAUGGGCGCAAGCCUGAUGCAGCCAUGCCGCGUGUAUGAAGAAGGCCUUCGGGUUGUAAAGUACUUUCAGCGGGGAGGAAGGUGUUGUGGUUAAUAACCGCAGCAAUUGACGUUACCCGCAGAAGAAGCACCGGCUAACUCCGUGCCAGCAGCCGCGGUAAUACGGAGGGUGCAAGCGUUAAUCGGAAUUACUGGGCGUAAAGCGCACGCAGGCGGUCUGUCAAGUCGGAUGUGAAAUCCCCGGGCUCAACCUGGGAACUGCAUUCGAAACUGGCAGGCUUGAGUCUUGUAGAGGGGGGUAGAAUUCCAGGUGUAGCGGUGAAAUGCGUAGAGAUCUGGAGGAAUACCGGUGGCGAAGGCGGCCCCCUGGACAAAGACUGACGCUCAGGUGCGAAAGCGUGGGGAGCAAACAGGAUUAGAUACCCUGGUAGUCCACGCCGUAAACGAUGUCUACUUGGAGGUUGUGCCCUUGAGGCGUGGCUUCCGGAGCUAACGCGUUAAGUAGACCGCCUGGGGAGUACGGCCGCAAGGUUAAAACUCAAAUGAAUUGACGGGGGCCCGCACAAGCGGUGGAGCAUGUGGUUUAAUUCGAUGCAACGCGAAGAACCUUACCUGGUCUUGACAUCCACGGAAGUUUUCAGAGAUGAGAAUGUGCCUUCGGGAACCGUGAGACAGGUGCUGCAUGGCUGUCGUCAGCUCGUGUUGUGAAAUGUUGGGUUAAGUCCCGCAACGAGCGCAACCCUUAUCCUUUGUUGCCAGCGGUCCGGCCGGGAACUCAAAGGAGACUGCCAGUGAUAAACUGGAGGAAGGUGGGGAUGACGUCAAGUCAUCAUGGCCCUUACGACCAGGGCUACACACGUGCUACAAUGGCGCAUACAAAGAGAAGCGACCUCGCGAGAGCAAGCGGACCUCAUAAAGUGCGUCGUAGUCCGGAUUGGAGUCUGCAACUCGACUCCAUGAAGUCGGAAUCGCUAGUAAUCGUGGAUCAGAAUGCCACGGUGAAUACGUUCCCGGGCCUUGUACACACCGCCCGUCACACCAUGGGAGUGGGUUGCAAAAGAAGUAGGUAGCUUAACCUUCGGGAGGGCGCUUACCACUUUGUGAUUCAUGACUGGGGUGAAGUCGUAACAAGGUAACCGUAGGGGAACCUGCGGUUG
rnacentral:rRNA from 1 species